UAACGUUGAAGAGGCUAGCCGGCGCCAUCCCGGGCAGCCAUCACAAGCGACAUCAGUUCGCAGCAACUUCGCGUACUGAAGGGUCGACGACCGUGAGGCCUAACAGAUUUAUAUCGAGGAAGGAGUUGGAAACAGCCUGAUUACUAAUCAACUGUUCAGUUGACGGGAUGAGUACAUAUUGUGGUGGAGGAAUCUCCCCUUGAAAUUAUAUGGUUUGCCCACCAACUACAGAGCCUAGAGGAGACAUUUUUCUGCCCAUACUGUUCAACUACGAAGAGCCCCAGGGAGCUGCACCGGUUGUGCAAUUAAUUUAUCCUCAUGGUGGUAUCUGACAGCAGUGAGUAGGCAUAGUUAACUCAUUAGUUUUGGGAUUUCCAGAGGGAGAGCCCGAAUCAACCUAUGAUCAAUGGACGACCCGCUAAACCAACAGAUACUGCCCCCAUGUAGCAGCACCAUAAAGGAGGUUUUCCAUUAUUGAGCUGUUCAGAAUCCAUUGAUAUUUUCAACAAAUUACAUUAUUCUUAUGGGUUUUUUGGGCUGAUUGUGUUACAUUUUAAGAUACUAUGGAAGUCUAUGUCAGUGCUCGGUCAAAACGACACAAAAUACCUUAUAUACCUAUAUCACUAUAACCUGAUGAACUUAUAUCAAAGUAAGCAUGGCACACAAUCCUCAGAGUAAGCAUAUAUAAUAUAUAAAAUAUUUUAUUUCUGUGACUCAUACAAUGUGACAUCUGCCUUGCACCUCCACUCGCUUUAUAAAAAAGCCACAUAGCGAAGGCACGUCAGAGUCAGUGAGUCACUUUAGACAGAUGUUACCACUGAAAAUAAAUGACUGUCGCACAUCUUCCUCCAGCUCCUCUGCACCUCCACCUGCAG